rnacentral:rRNA from 1 species
UACGUAGGGGGGCAAGCGUUUGUCCGGAUUUAUUGGGCGUAAAGAGCGUGUAGGCGGCUAGGUAGGUCUGCUGUGAAAACUCGAGGCUCAACCUCGAGAUGUCGGCGGAAACCAUCUGGCUAGAGUCCGGAAGAGGAGAGUGGAAUUCCUGGUGUAGCGGUGAAAUGCGCAGAUAUCAGGAAGAACACCCAUGGCGAAGGCAGCUCUCUGGGACGGUACUGACGCUGAGACGCGAAAGCGUGGGGAGCGAACAGG